GUUCCAACAAAAAGUAUUAAAUGGAGACUGAGUAUUUGUAUUAAGAAGCGAAUAGGCGACACCCUGUGAGAUAUGAUAGGGCGUGUGCUAACUUACAAUUUUUAAAGCGAUCUGUUUUGUUCGAAUAUCAGAAAC